AAAAAAUACCUAAAACAGGGGAAGUUACAAAACAAUUUGUAAUGUGAGCUGCUGACAGAGAUACAGGAAACACAGAGCUGGAGCGGAGCAGAUCUCCUGUCGAAGAACAUCUCCAAAGCACCAUGAACCAUCUGACUAGGCAGUUCGUGAAGACGGAUAACCUGGACAGAAGUCGGUUCCAGAUCCAGCCUCCACACCAGACUUCUCACUCACAAGGAUUGCUGUCUACUAGAUAUUAUGUGUACUCUUCAGACUUAGGUUCAUGCAGAUAUUAUUCAGGGACAUGAACACUUGAAUACUGCAAAAAUAGAGAAACUACCUUAUUUAAGAAUUUUGUGUUAAUUGCGUGAACAUUAAACAAAUAUAUUUAUUUUACUGUUUUUUGUUUUGUAUUCCAAAGCACCUAAAAGCCAAUUCACACUGCCAUACUCCAACAGGGUGAACACACUGACCAAGCAAAACAAAUAAGCAUGUUUUUAUAGUUUUUGUGAAAGUGUGAACUGACAAUGCUGUAUGUUAGGUGUGAGAUUCAUUCAACUUGGUUUGCUGAUUAAACAUGAUUAAAUAUUUGUUCAGAAUAUUUUGUUGUUGUUGUGACUAUUCAUCUAGGAGGGGUGUGUAUCAAGUGGCUUGGUUAUGGUUUUGUUGAGGCUGACAUGUGGAACCCAUCUGAUCCAGCGUAUAGGACCAGAACAGGGCCAGCUAUGGUCAUACAGAACCUCAGAUCCCACAUAGCAAUUUUUCUCUGGCCCAGCUCCGGCCCACACAAUCAGCUUUUGCUUG